ACAUGGAGAAAUAUUACCUUAUGUUUUGUCAUUGCACCAACGAUGAGUGGGCACACCAUUCCCGACAGUGUCCCCACACCAUUGGAAAUUCCCAUCAGAAUGCUGGCGUAACGUGGUGCAAUGUCCAAGUGAUUUACAUUGAAUCCUACAGCAAAUGAGAGACAAUGGUCAACUACACAACAUUGUGCCACCUGGCCAACAGGGCUUCCUACAACCAUUCUGGCUGAAGAAGCCUGAAAAGGAUCUAGCUGGCCUAAAGUAACAUCCUGUGUGCAGAUGCUUGUUUUGCAGCACCCACAAAAUAAUAUGAGGUUACUACACACCUGCAAGGAGUCACAAUGUUGCUGAAGCUGGAUGCCAAUACCAUGGGCUGUGUAGGAACCAGCAUGACAUCCUUGAUACAUACCUACAAGAGGAGAGUAAUCUGGAUAAUUUGAAAUUUGCAUACCAUUUCCACAUAGCAACCCCAGUGCAGUGACACAUCACAUAGCCACUAAACACAAACCCUACGUGUAUCGG